AAAAGAUAAAUCUUAUUCUAUCUGUUCUUAAUGAGUUUUAUAUAAUUUUAGUUGUAUUUCUUUGUAAUUUUGUGUUGUACAAAGAUUAAUUUAACAUUUUCUCUGGAAGUAUUAAUUUAGAAAGAUAAUAUGCUUCAUUGGUGUUGUGUUUUGAAGUGUGAAAAGUAAUUGUGAUAAAGUCAAGAUAAAGUUCACUUUUAAACUGAACUAAAUAAGGUAUCUGAGAGACAACAAUGGUUAAAUGCAAUACAAUGUACAGGUUUUACUAGCGAAAUGAAAAUUUUCCUGUCCUGUCUGCUGUAAUCAUUUUAUAUCUGGUAAGUUACAAUUACAACAGUAACGAUUUUUGAAGAUGUUAACAUUUUAAUCUUAUAGGAAAACCAGCCGACUUAAUCGAUAAUAACAAUCUCCAGAUUGGGUUCCUUCAAUAAAUAUGGGCUAUAAACACAAUGAAAUAAGUUCCCCAAAAUCUAAAAUGGAGUGGUAUCAAAGGAGAAUUAAAGGAAAAAAUAUUCAUAUUGAAAUUAUUUAUAAGGCACUGGACUGUCUUAAAUUCUACAAUAAUACUAGAAUCAGCUGAGAGAAGUGGUCUACAAAAAACCAGGAAGGAAAAGGAAUAUGUGGCUACGAAAGGCAAAAGAAAGGUUUACAAAGCAAAUGUGACACAUUUUUUUGAAAUAUUUAGGAAUAUCAGUAAAUUGCAUUAAAAAAAUGUAUGAAAAGAUUUUGUUCAAUAAAAAUGUUUAUAUUUA